rnacentral:tRNA from 1 species
GAAGAUACGGGUUCGAUUCCCGCCGCUCGCC